AACGAACGCUGGCGGCAUGCCUAACACAUGCAAGUCGAACGAGACCUUCGGGUCUAGUGGCGCACGGGUGCGUAACGCGUGGGAACCUGCCCUUAGGUUCGGAAUAACUCCCCGAAAGGGGUGCUAAUACCGGAUAAUGUCUUCGGACCAAAGAUUUAUCGCCUUUGGAUGGGCCCGCGUUGGAUUAGCUAGUUGGUAGAGUAAAAGCCUACCAAGGCGACGAUCCAUAGCUGGUCUGAGAGGAUGAUCAGCCACACUGGGACUGAGACACGGCCCAGACUCCUGCGGGAGGCAGCAGUGGGGAAUAUUGGACAAUGGGCGAAAGCCUGAUCCAGCAAUGCCGCGUGAGUGAUGAAGGCCUUAGGGUUGUAAAGCUCUUUUACCCGGGAUGAUAAUGACAGUACCGGGAGAAUAAGCUCCGGCUAACUCCGUG
rnacentral:rRNA from 1 species